GUAUGAUUGAAAGAGGCUCAUUGUGAAUAACAAAAGAUGCUCCUGUCACCCCUAUCACUCAGGAAAUUCUCAGAGUUUUAGAAACUGUGUCAGGAACCAGGGACAAAAACAAAUAUUUAUUUUUUAUUGUCACACUUCUGCCUCGAAUCUCUUCUGUUGGGAGAAAUAAGUCAACUAUAAUACUUAUCAGAAAUAGGUGCUUCAGUGAACUCAUUGACCUUUGAAAGAAGAGGAGAGAUGGAGGGCAAACACAUCUUGUGGAGUCCACACCGUGUGGAACCUACUGUUAACAUGUAAACAAGCUCAACAGGAACAGAGCCAAUGAAUAUAGACCUUCCAACGUGGAAAUACUCCAGAGGCCUCAGACGUGUCUACUACCGUCUUUCUCUCUCAACUGGCUACAAAUUCCUUCCAGGAGAUUCUACUCUGAGGUAGAUAUUCAAGGUAGGGCAGCAGCUCCAAAAGCAAAGAGGUAGAGGCAUUCAUAAGAAACUGUCACUAUCUUUCAAAAGACAACGCCAUGUUGUCCCCAAGGUCCAGGCUGGUGGGAGAAUAGCCUUUGAGGAGGAACAUUGAACCAGAAUUCCAGAUCCAGUUUCCUUCCCCAGGCCCUGCCACACCGAUCUCAGAGAGAAGGAUCCUUUCUCACUCUCUCCAAGCUCGGGAAGAACCUGGGGACUUGAUUUCUCCAACACAGCUAAGACAUCGCAGGAGUACGCACGGGACUUGACUAAUAGAUGGGGCAGUCCGCCUGCCUCACUGGACUUGGGACCUCUUGAAGCAGGGACCAUUUGUUAGGGGCUUUGUGUCUCAAGCACAGAGUGAUAGGUGGUCCGCUGUCAUCAAAUGCUUCCUGAGGAAGGAGCUGCAGGGGAUCCUUUCAGAAAUCUCUUCUUUUUUGUCCAAUUAAGCUCUGAUUUCCAGACGUUGACACCAGCUCCCUCCUGAUUAUAAUAAGCUCAUGCCUCAGAUCAUCAGAUUUUCAUCACAGAACAUAUACGUACUUCAGCAUCUGCAACCCUAUGGAGGUGACCCCACUUCUUACUGUCUCGUGGAGGGUUCAAGGCAUUCUGUAGAUGCCUUCCAGCCUCUCCCGCCUCCCCGCUCAACACCUUUUAAUCGACGAAGUCCCCUCCUCUUUCUGCAGCCAUUCUGUUACUUACAGAAUGGAGACAACGCCAAUAAAAA
rnacentral:lncRNA from 1 species